GACGAACGCUGGCGGCGUGCCUAAUACAUGCAAGUCGAGCGAAUCGAUGGGAGCUUGCUCCCUGAGAUUAGCGGCGGACGGGUGAGUAACACGUGGGUAACCUGCCUGUAAGACUGGGAUAACUUCGGGAAACCGGAGCUAAUACCGGAUACUUUCUUUUCUCGCAUGAGGGAAGAUGGAAAGAUGGUUCUGCUAUCACUUACAGAUGGACCCGCGGCGCAUUAGCUAGUUGGUGAGGUAACGGCUCACCAAGGCAACGAUGCGUAGCCGACCUGAGAGGGUGAUCGGCCACACUGGGACUGGGACACGGCCCAGACUCCUACGGGAGGCAGCAGUAGGGAAUCUUCCGCAAUGGACGAAAGUCUGACGGAGCAACGCCGCGUGAGCGAAGAAGGCCUUCGGGUCGUAAAGCUCUGUUGUUAGGGAAGAACAAGUACGAGAGUAACUGCUCGUACCUUGACGGUACCUAACCAGAAAGCCACGGCUAACUACGUGCCAGCAGCCGCGGUAAGAC
rnacentral:rRNA from 1 species